rnacentral:rRNA from 1 species
UGCAAGUCGAGCGGUAAGGCCUUUCGGGGUACACGAGCGGCGAACGGGUGAGUAACACGUGGGUGAUCUGCCCUGCACUCUGGGAUAAGCCUGGGAAACUGGGUCUAAUACCGGAUAUGACUACAGCAUGCAUGUGUUGUGGUGGAAAGAUUUAUCGGUGCAGGAUGGGCCCGCGGCCUAUCAGCUUGUUGGUGGGGUAAUGGCCUACCAAGGCGACGACGGGUAGCCGACCUGAGAGGGUGACCGGCCACACUGGGACUGAGACACGGCCCAGACUCCUACGGGAGGCAGCAGUGGGGAAUAUUGCACAAUGGGCGGAAGCCUGAUGCAGCGACGCCGCGUGAGGGAUGAAGGCCUUCGGGUUGUAAACCUCUUUCAGCAGGGACGAAGCGUGAGUGACGGUACCUGCAGAAGAAGCACCGGCUAACUACGUGCCAGCAGCCGCGGUAAUACGUAGGGUGCGAGCGUUGUCCGGAAUUACUGGGCGUAAAGAGUUCGUAGGCGGUUUGUCGCGUCGUUUGUGAAAACCCGGGGCUCAACUUCGGGCUUGCAGGCGAUACGGGCAGACUUGAGUGUUUCAGGGGAGACUGGAAUUCCUGGUGUAGCGGUGAAAUGCGCAGAUAUCAGGAGGAACACCGGUGGCGAAGGCGGGUCUCUGGGAAACAACUGACGCUGAGGAACGAAAGCGUGGGUAGCAAACAGGAUUAGAUACCCUGGUAGUCCACGCCGUAAACGGUGGGCGCUAGGUGUGGGUUCCUUCCACGGGAUCUGUGCCGUAGCUAACGCAUUAAGCGCCCCGCCUGGGGAGUACGGCCGCAAGG